UACGUAGGGUGCAAGCGUUGUCCGGAAUUAUUGGGCGUAAAGAGCUCGUAGGCGGUUUGUCGCGUCGUCCGUGAAAACCCAUGGCUCAACUGUGGGCUUGCGGUCGAUACGGGCAGGCUGGAGUUCGGUAGGGGAGACUGGAAUUCCUGGUGUAGCGGUGAAAUGCGCAGAUAUCAGGAGGAACACCGGUGGCGAAGGCGGGUCUCUGGGCCGAUACUGACGCUGAGGAGCGAAAGCGUGGGGAGCGAACAGG
rnacentral:rRNA from 1 species